ACUCUCACCAAACACUCAGAUCUCCAUUACUCUCCCACACCAACCACUAAACUCCAAUCCUGGGAGAGAUGCAACAAACUCAGAUCCAGGCGAGGAACCAGCCGGCGAUAGAUCUGUCGCAGCAGUCUCCACCGUCGAGUCUCUCCGUUUCGAGGAUUGUCGUCUUCUACUGGCCAGCGUCGCCGCCGACCCGCCAUCCUCUUCUCCGAGCUCUGUUGUUUCGCCGUCCUCUUCUCCAACCCUCCCCUUCGUGAUCAUUCAUUUGACACCAUCACUCCCAAUUUUGAGAAAGGCUUGCUGCUCCUCGUUAACAUCAUCUCCCUCUGCACUGCCACAGUCUCUCUUUAUGCUUCUUCUCCCCUUCUUCUGCUGCUGCCUCCUCCUCCAGCCUUCCUCCUCUGCUUUGCUCCACCGCCUCCUCCUCUCUCCCAGUUUGCUCUAACUCUCUGUCUCUGCAGGUUUUUCUAAUCUCAGUUGAUGAUCUCUUUUAACUUGCUUUCCUUUCUCAUGCCAAUUUCUUCUAUUGAUCUUCUCCAAUGAAAACAAGAAUACCACGCUCUCAUCCCAGUCUUUAUGCGUAUUAUCAAGUUCUAAAUACUAAAGUUAGUUAUGUAGGAUUUUGUGAUUUCUUUGCCUAGUGAUGUGCUGCUGGAGAUUGAAUUGCUGCUAUUAAAUUUUUGAAACUUGACAAGUUUGAGGUCUUUGUGGAUUCACUGGAUUGUAAUUUCAAAAGACAGCUUGAACAAGAGAUGGAAACUGUGAUUAAAGUAUUGCAGCCUGGACCCUUGGGAAUCAUAGAGCAUAAGUUUUCUGCUGAGGAGAUUUGUAAGGCUAAUGAUACUGUCUCUAAGGCUGUGGCCAAUUGGCGAACUAAUGCGAAUUUGCAUCCCAAAAAUCAACUUUUAAAAGACUAUAUUCAGAAGUGAAACAACUUCAAAGUGCAGGCAUAUUUUGGCUUACAUGUGAGGACAGUUUUAUUUUAGAUCCUCUAAACGUUUUUUGAGUUUUGCAAAUUCCUUUCUGUACUUAUUUAUGAUGUUGUAUUAAACAUGUGAACUUUGGUACACAUAGCAUUAGUUAUUGAAUUAUGUUCACUAUUUCACUAUAAUGAAGAUCUUUAGUGAAUGAGAGUGAGGUUAGUCGUUCUUCUUUUGU